rnacentral:rRNA from 1 species
UACGUAGGGGGCAAGCGUUGUCCGGAUUUAUUGGGCGUAAAGAGCGUGUAGGCGGCUAGGUAGGUCCGUUGUGAAAACUCGAGGCUCAACCUCGAGACGCCGAUGGAAACCAUCUAGCUAGAGUCCGGAAGAGGAGAGUGGAAUUCCUGGCGUAGCGGUGAAAUGCGCAGAUAUCAGGAAGAACACCCGUGGCUAAGGCGGCUCUCUAGUACGGUACUGACGCUGAGACGCGAAAGCGUGGGGAGCGAACAGG